rnacentral:rRNA from 1 species
AUUGAACGCUGGCGGCAUGCUUUACACAUGCAAGUCGAACGGUAACAGGCCGCAAGGUGCUGACGAGUGGCGAACGGGUGCGUAAUGCAUCGGAACGUGCCCAGUCGUGGGGGAUAACUACUCGAAAGAGUAGCUAAUACCGCAUACGAUCUAUGGAUGAAAGCGGGGGACCGUAAGGCCUCGCGCGAUUGGAGCGGCCGAUGUCAGAUUAGGUAGUUGGUGGGGUAAAGGCUCACCAAGCCAACGAUCUGUAGCUGGCCUGAGAGGACGACCAGCCACACUGGGACUGAGACACGGCCCAGACUCCUACGGGAGGCAGCAGUGGGGAAUUUUGGACAAUGGGCGCAAGCCUGAUCCAGCAAUGCCGCGUGCAGGAAGAAGGCCUUCGGGUUGUAAACUGCUUUUGUACGGAACGAAACGGCUCUGGUUAAUACCCGGGGCUAAUGACGGUACCGUAAGAAUAAGCACCGGCUAACUACGUG